UAGAUACCCUGGUAGUCCACGCCGUAAACGAUGUCGAUUUGGAGGCUGUGUCCUUGAGACGUGGCUUCCGGAGCUAACGCGUUAAAUCGACCGCCUGGGGAGUACGGCCGCAAGGUUAAAACUCAAAUGAAUUGACGGGGGCCCGCACAAGCGGUGGAGCAUGUGGUUUAAUUCGAUGCAACGCGAAGAACCUUACCUGGCCUUGACAUGUCUGGAAUCCUGUAGAGAUACGGGAGUGCCUUCGGGAAUC
rnacentral:rRNA from 1 species